rnacentral:rRNA from 1 species
GACGUAGGGCGCAAGCGUUGUCCGGAUUUAUUGGGCGUAAAGAGCGUGUAGGCGGCCAGGUAGGUCUGCUGUGAAAACUCGAGGCUCAACCUCGAGACGCCGGCGGAAACCAUCUGGCUAGAGUCCGGAAGAGGAGAGUGGAAUUCCUGGUGUAGCGGUGAAAUGCGUAGAUAUCUGGAGGAACACCGGUGGCGAAGGCGACAUCCUGGACCGGUAUUGACGCUGAGGCGCGAAAGCCAGGGGAGCAAACGGG